rnacentral:rRNA from 1 species
GGUUAAGCGACUAAGCGUACACGGUGGAUGCCCUGGCAGUCAGAGGCGAUGAAGGACGUGCUAAUCUGCGAUAAGCGUCGGUAAGGUGAUAUGAACCGUUAUAACCGGCGAUUUCCGAAUGGGGAAACCCAGUGUGUUUCGACACACUAUCAUUAACUGAAUCCAUAGGUUAAUGAGGCGAACCGGGGGAACUGAAACAUCUAAGUACCCCGAGGAAAAGAAAUCAACCGAGAUUCCCCCAGUAGCGGCGAGCGAACGGGGAGGAGCCCAGAGCCUGAAUCAGUGUGUGUGUUAGUGGAAGCGUCUGGAAAGGCGCGCGAUACAGGGUGACAGCCCCGUACACAAAAAUGCACAUACUGUGAGCUCGAUGAGUAGGGCGGGACACGUGGUAUCCUGUCUGAAUAUGGGGGGACCAUCCUCCAAGGCUAAAUACUCCUGACUGACCGAUAGUGAACCAGUACCGUGAGGGAAAGGCGAAAAGAACCCCGGCGAGGGGAGUGAAAAAGAACCUGAAACCGUGUACGUACAAGCAGUGGGAGCCUCUUUUAUGGGGUGACUGCGUACCUUUUGUAUAAUGGGUCAGCGACUUAUAUUCUGUAGCAAGGUUAACCGAAUAGGGGAGCCGAAGGGAAACCGAGUCUUAACUGGGCGUUAAGUUGCAGGGUAUAGACCCGAAACCCGGUGAUCUAGCCAUGGGCAGGUUGAAGGUUGGGUAACACUAACUGGAGGACCGAACCGACUAAUGUUGAAAAAUUAGCGGAUGACUUGUGGCUGGGGGUGAAAGGCCAAUCAAACCGGGAGAUAGCUGGUUCUCCCCGAAAGCUAUUUAGGUAGCGCCUCGUGAAUUCAUCUCCGGGGGUAGAGCACUGUUUCGGCAAGGGGGUCAUCCCGACUUACCAACCCGAUGCAAACUGCGAAUACCGGAGAAUGUUAUCACGGGAGACACACGGCGGGUGCUAACGUCCGUCGUGAAGAGGGAAACAACCCAGACCGCCAGCUAAGGUCCCAAAGUCAUGGUUAAGUGGGAAACGAUGUGGGAAGGCCCAGACAGCCAGGAUGUUGGCUUAGAAGCAGCCAUCAUUUAAAGAAAGCGUAAUAGCUCACUGGUCGAGUCGGCCUGCGCGGAAGAUGUAACGGGGCUAAACCAUGCACCGAAGCUGCGGCAGCGACGCUUAUGCGUUGUUGGGUAGGGGAGCGUUCUGUAAGCCUGUGAAGGUGUACUGUGAGGUAUGCUGGAGGUAUCAGAAGUGCGAAUGCUGACAUAAGUAACGAUAAAGCGGGUGAAAAGCCCGCUCGCCGGAAGACCAAGGGUUCCUGUCCAACGUUAAUCGGGGCAGGGUGAGUCGACCCCUAAGGCGAGGCCGAAAGGCGUAGUCGAUGGGAAACAGGUUAAUAUUCCUGUACUUGGUGUUACUGCGAAGGGGGGACGGAGAAGGCUAUGUUGGCCGGGCGACGGUUGUCCCGGUUUAAGCGUGUAGGCUGGUUUUCCAGGCAAAUCCGGAAAAUCAAGGCUGAGGCGUGAUGACGAGGCACUACGGUGCUGAAGCAACAAAUGCCCUGCUUCCAGGAAAAGCCUCUAAGCAUCAGGUAACAUCAAAUCGUACCCCAAACCGACACAGGUGGUCAGGUAGAGAAUACCAAGGCGCUUGAGAGAACUCGGGUGAAGGAACUAGGCAAAAUGGUGCCGUAACUUCGGGAGAAGGCACGCUGAUAUGUAGGUGAAG